UCUUCAUUUCCUACGCUCUCUCACCGGUCAGAGAGGCGAGAGAGUGUGUGAAAUGAAGAGA
rfam:Pristionchus pacificus strain PS312 contig420, whole genome shotgun sequence.